GAUCCGGUGGCCUAGUGGUUAGAGCGUCUGAUUCGGAUGCGGGAGGUCCCGGUUUCGAACCCAUGCCGAGUCA